rnacentral:tRNA from 1 species
GCCGGGGUGGCGGAAAGGUAGACGCACGGGACUUAAAAUCCUGCGGACGCAAGUCCGUGCGGGUUCAAAUCCCGCUCUCGGCACCA